GUGCUCGCUUCGGCAGCACAUAUACUAAAAUUGGAACGAUACAGAGAAGAUUAGCAUGGCCCCUGCGCAAGGAUGAAAGUUCUGAUGCCAAAGUUUGGAAAAAUUUCA
ensembl:snRNA U6 U6 spliceosomal RNA